UUAGCUCUCUUUGCCUUUUGGCUUAGAUCAAGUGUUAGUAUCUGUUCUUUUCAGUUUAAUCUCUGAGAAAAGAUGUCUAAGGACAUCAAUCGUGAUUAUCUCCUAUUUUUGAAACUCGAGGUGGUCUCCUCUGUGCUUGCAACAUGAUUUCCCACCCACAGUGUCCCUGGUAUUACACUGCCUCCAGGUGACGAGAGAUGCA
rnacentral:snRNA from 2 species